GACCAUGGCUGACUACAGGUCAUGAGAGAGCUACCCAAUAUAGAGGGAGAUAAAAUAUCACAUAUUAGAGAGAGCUUCCAGCUUUAGUGAUAACUAGAGGCCUUGAAAGAGGUUAGGCAUGCCUGACUAAAGAGAUCCAAUUUUAGAGCUAGGAUUAUAUGUUCCAGGAUUACUUGACAUUAGGUAGGGAUCAGUGAAGAGAAAAAGGCAUUCAAGAUCGUUGACAGGAAUAGUCAGCCAGCCAGUACCACAAAAGGGAAUGACCAUUCAGAAUAUAGGAUGUUUUAGAGAAACUUGUGUCCUCAUUUGGAACGCCUAAAGAAGUUUAGUUAGGGAGACUCCGUGGUUAAGAAAAUGGACUCACCAUCCUGGCUUUACAUCCUGGCUCUACCGACCUCUUCUCAGGAUUGCUUGCUCAGAAGGAGAUUCUUCCCUUCUAAUGGGGAGCGCUAACAUCUAUCAUCCAUGUUCCUCCAAGAGGAUUAACUGCUAAUGAAGAAACCCAGCAUCACAAGGCAAUAUGCUUCACCAUUGGUGUAAUAAGUUGCAAUAGGGGUAUAUUACAUCCUGUGAUAUUGGUAAGUAUUAUCAAACUUAAAGCACGCAUAUAAAAGUGUAUCCAUUGAUCGACCCCAGGUCCUCUGGAAUCUAUGGAACGUACUCUAGACCUGAAACCAGGCUUCUCAGAAUUGGUGAGGAGAAAAGAGGAAGCAAAGAUUUGCAAAAUUGAGUAUAUAAUCCACUUCAUGUGACAGAGACCUAGUUGCCUCAUUUGAUAUGGUCUUUCCUUUGGCCUAUGUAGAGCCCUUUCAGUUUCUGCUCCGUGGGAUCUAAGUACUCAAACCUGAGUGUUAAGGCUUUUUUUCCACCAUCUUUGUAAUAAAUUUCACUUUCUAUUAGA